GGUUUGGCCGAUAGUUGAACCUUGUGUUGAAGAGGAACAAUGCAGAUUCCGUCCUGGUCGUGGAACAAUGGGUCAGAUCUUCACUCUAGCAAGGAUCCUGGCGGGAGCUUGGGAGUGUGCCCAUCCAGUCAACAUUUGUUUU